GUGUAAUGUAAUUUGUAUAGGUUUCCACAUAUGGACUAAGGAAGAAUAAUGAAAUAACAUUAUGCUCCUUCAGCCAUUUUUAUAUUCGCGCUUCAAUAUCAAAUCAACGUCAACCUUGUCAUCAUCACGAAGCUUUGAAAUGAAGGGUGAUUUCCAGCCGUCAACAGGAGGAGCAACACUAACACAACUAUAUGGAAGGUAAAAAUCACCCUCAUAUUGCCUAUAUACAUCGUAUAUUUCGACACAGUUUGGCAUCAUAAAAAGCGGUCGCUUCAAAACUUUCCCUGUUUCGCGCACAUUACGUAUACAACCGAUGAAAAUUAUGGCUGUACAAAAGUACGAAACGUUCGCUACACGUGAAAAAUUUUAAGAAGCUGCUGGUUACAUGAAUAUGAUGCUGAAGACAGCGUUAGGCGCCAAGCGCAUAUGUGAUUUCAAAUAGAGUGCAAC